UGAUCCCCCCACCCCCGCCCCCCCAGGACUCAUGUGUCUUACUCGCUCAUGGUUGUGAACCCUUCCACCGCCCCCCAGGCGGACACCCGUCUCCCGCCGGAGGCCUCGUGCUCAAGUGAGUGUUGCGUCGCCGACACGCCGCGGCCGCCGCCGCGCGAGGCACGGCGCGCCCCGCCGGCCCCGCCGGCUGCCUGGACGAACAUGGUGCUAUUUACUUUACUUUAUACGUAAGACGCCUGUACAGUAGUUAUGUAGUUUGUUAUGCAUUGUUGUUUACUGGUUGAAGUGAUUAAACGUUUGCUGUAGAAGAAAGCAGGCGGGGCGGGGGGCGCCAGCCCCCCCCCUCGCUACACACCUCGUGCUGAAACACACCAAGUGGACCUCUGGCCAGGUGGGUCGCCACCCCCUCACCACCACCCCUCACCUUACAUGGCCACACACACACACACACACACACACACACCACACCCAUCCUCGGCCAGUCCACAGUGACAACUCAUCACCACACAUCCUCAUCACCACCAGUACCACCCCCAUGAACACCCUCACCCCCAUCCCCCCACCAUGCACUGUCAUCUUCACCACAGCCUCACUUGCCUCAACCACACAUUCCAGCAUAAGCUAAUCCUCAAGUGUCCACCACACGUCUGCCCGAGCUCUCUCACUCCACACACUGACACUGUCCUCCACCACCGCUAGGCUGCCACGCUCACACCCUCACCUCCUCCACCUCCAGCCAACACACACACACACACACACACACACACACACACUGAUUAAUACCAACACUAAGGAAAACAACUUCUUCAGCUGCUACCCUGUAUAGUCACUUUGGAUACUCUCUGGGUACUGUAUAUAAGAACUCACAAUAUUUAGAGAUCUUGCGCUCUUUUGUAAUGGUAAGAUAAUACUGAUGAUGCACUCCUCAGCAUAAAGUAUAGGAUAGAUUUAAGAUUUUAUACAACUGGCACUCAUACGUGAGAGGGAGAGAACCUUGUGAAGAGAGUUACUGAAGCUCCUGUCGUUACCUACUAAAAAGAACGAACAUUAAGUGGCUGGGCAUUGCAUGGGUCUGUCAGGGGGAGGGAAGCAGCAAGGGAGAGAGACAGAGAGGCAGGCAAGAAGGCACAGCUAAGGAAGGAAGGCAUUGUUCAGGGUAGUAUUAGAGACGUUUUAUGUUUGUGUGUUUCAUAAAGUAGAUAUUUACCAGUAGCUGCUGUUUUGAUGGGUUUUGUGAUAAGUUAUGUGUAGAGGGAAGCCUGAGAGAGAGAGGGACGGAAAGUGCGGUGGUGUGUUGAGGGAAGAUAGAAGUGUGUGUGUGAGUGUGAGUGAGUGAAGUAAGUGUGAGAGAGGUCCAAAAGAUAAGCAAGAAAAUUUAAUGUGAAGUGUGUGUUGAUAGUGACAGAGGAAAGAAGUGUAAUGAAGUGUGUUGACAGAAGCCUGAGAGGUGUAAGAAGUGUGAAGUGUGCGUGGGGAAGAAGCCUGAAAGAGAGGGAAGAAGUGUUAGAAGUGUGAAGUGUAUGCUGACAUAAGCCUGAGAGAUCCAAAAAGUGUGAAGAAUGAAGUGUGAGAUCCAUGGACAUUGCUCAAGUGUGUGUGUGUGUGUGUGUGUGCGUGUUUACCUAGUUGUAACAUAUGGGAAAAGAGCUAUGUGUGUGUGUGUGUGUGUGUAUUUACCUAGUUGUAACAUACGGGAAAAGAGCUGUGUAUGUGUGUGUGUGUGUGUGUGUGUGUGUGUGUGUGUGUGUUUGAGGGGACAGGGCGAGGAGAGGGAUCAAGGGGGCGGGGGUUUGCCUAUGUACUGCAGAAAGACAUUAUAAUAUUUCUAGUGAGUGAUUUUUUUGCCUUUUAUACAUAUCAUUUCUCACAUUCAGCACGGACACCAAUACUGGGGCUGCCUUCCUUAGAGAGCAACACAGUCUGGCAUUCGUCUCGCUAACUUGACAUAUCAUUUCUUUAUAACGUAACCUCAGAAGCAUUUAUGACCCUGAGAAUUGUCUGAGUACUCCCCCUGAUCAAAGUUUAUAAGGUGCUUUGGUAAGGGUGAUAUUUAUAAGUUUAUGAUGGUAUGAGGACUGGGUAAGACACGCAGUUAAUCGGGUUAAAAGUGGAUAAACUCAGAUUUUUUAGGUGUGUCUGCGUGUGAAGGAGUCAGCUCAAAGGCAUGUUAUAAGGAAAUCCAUAGAGAGUAAUGUGCUAAGUGGAGCGUCUACAGUGAUUCCUGCCUGGUGUAUCCUCUCCCUUGCUCUGGGUUUAUGGAAAUAACUAAUAAUAAAAUGAUAACAAUGGGAAGUAGCUUUUUUUUGCGAGGACUUUUUUUCCAGCGAGAUUUUUUUUGUUGCCCUUGAGCCGUGUCCUCUGAUGUAAAAAAAAAAAUAAGGAAGCGUAAGUUGCAAUGAAUACAAAGCUUGCAGUAACGUCUCUUCUUCACAAGGUAUAAUGUUCCCCUUCCUCCAGACUCAAGUUCACGGGUCACACACACACAUUGAUCAGCCUCUCUCACUCACGGAUCACACGGCAGAACUCAUGCAUUGCGGUUUUAUAUGAUGCGUUUCUCUUUUAGUUUCAAUCAAAAUGUCGUGUCUUUUUAUUUUAUGUUUAAUUUUCUUUUCUUUCUUGGGGGAGGGGGGUUAAUUUUUUCUUUUUUUCAUUUUUCAUUUCAAUUUUAUCAUUUUCAUUUUUUCAGUUCCAAUUUUGUUUCUUUUUUCAGUUUUUGUUUCAUCUGUAGUUUUUUAUUUGUUUCAUUUUUGUUUCAUUUUCUUUAGUUUCAAUUUUCAGUCAAUUUUGUUUCUUUUUUUCAUGUUUUGUUUCAUUUGUAGUUUAAUUUUUUGUUUCAUUUUCUUUAGUUUCAAUUUUCAGUUUCAAUUUCCUUUCAAUUUCAAUUUCUUUCUGGUUUCAAUCAAAAUGUCAGGUAUAUUUCGAGCAGCAACUUCAAAUCAGCGGAAAUCAAUUCAAAUCAUUGUGUGUUACGUUUGAGCGAAACAAAAAGACUCUCCCUCCCUCCUCCUUUCUUUGCCUCUCCGUGGGAUAAGAGGGAGAGAGGGAGUGAGAGAGAGAAUAGAGUACAAUACACAAAUGAAUGAACAUGAAUACAGUAUGAAUAUGACCUAUGAAUAUGACAAAUUUACAUGUCCUGUCCACACACACACACACACACAUACCCAUACACACUUCAUCAACAACAUCAACAAUACAAACCUUUACCUAUCAACAGUAUGACCAACACAAAGAGGGAACUCAAUACCACAAUACGAUAAGGAGAAGCCAAAAGUCCACAAGUAUAUAACAAAAUGCUAAACCUUGAAAAAGCAACUCAAAAACCAUACUUGAAAUCACCCCAAAAUCCAACACACCACACACCCCUUAAUCCGUCCUAAGAGUGAUGUGGUCUGUCCUCCGCUCACAGCCACACACUCUGCCCCCAACACACUCUAGCGCCAUCAUCAUAUACAUUACAAUACACUCCCUUACUUCCUAUGUCCCCAACCCCUUCUUUCCCCUCCUAACAAGACACCCUUCCCCUUCCCAAACAAAACCAAAGCCCUUUCUUCCCCUUCCUCCCCAACAAAACCUCAUUCCCUUCCUUUCCCUUCCCCAAUAUGACCCCAUCCCUUUCCUUCCUUCCCCCAACAGACCCUAAACCUUACCUUCCCUUCUCCUAACAUGAUUUCAAACCCUUCCUUUCCCUUUCCCAAUAAAAUCUAAAUCCCUUCCUUCCCUUCCUCUCCAGCAAGACCCCAAAUCAUUCCUUCCCUUUCCUUCCCAUCCCCCAACAAGACCUCAACCCCAUCCUUUCCCUUCCUAAGUAUGACCCCAACCCUUUCCUUCCUUUUCCCAAGAUCUAAAUCCCUUCCUUCCCAUUCCUCUCCAACAAGACCCAAAACCUUACCUUACAUCAUGACCCAACCCCUUCCUCCCCUCCCUAACACACACACAUAAAGGAAAGUAUAAAUAUAGGGACUCCUCUUCAUACUCUCACAGUGACUCAGCCUUAAGUUGCUAAUAGAUCACGGCCACAAAGGAACGUCGCCGGAGCUUCUCUUCCACCUGACGCAUAGAACGGCUAUUACCAGCGUGUCGUGUCGAGGCGGUAAGUCGCGUGAGCUAAACUGGCAAGCUGAAGCAGACUAGUGGGCCGCCAGCCUUUGAGUGUUGCGGUGCGUGUUGAGUGAGUGAGUAACCUCCCGUGGGGUGCGACUGGCCAGUUUGUCAACACUCACGCUGUCUAUGUUUAGCUUCUAAGUUUUUUGGACGAGUUGGCAGUUGUAGGAGUCCAUUGCAGUUAUAUAUUGUGAUGGAAACUCUCAUUAUUAUCAUUAUUAUUGUAACUCGUUUAACGCUAGGUCACUUUUUUUGUAGCCUUGUGAAGGGCGACUGAGGUUAGUUGUGUUUGGUGUGUGUGACAUGCCAGGACUUCUGGGAACGGAAUAAUCUAGUGGAUUUCUAUCUUGACUUGGUGUAGAUCAAGUGUAACUAAGUUAACAUAUCCAAUAAACGGUUGUUACUCCUCCCAAGGUUGGUCUUGAGAGGUGCAGGUGACAUGUACUACAUAGGCAUUAAUCUGUUAGCUGAAGACUAUUUUACAUGCAGUUUUUCCUCAGAAUAAAGUUAUUUCUCAUAAUAUGGUCAUUCAUUGUUGGCAUUAAGGCCAGUGUUAUGAGUCUAGUGAUAAUUUGACAAGGCUUCUGCACCAUGACUGAAAAAUGCUCAUAAGAACUCAAGUAAUGACUUUUGGGCCUUGGAAAUAUUUGUUAAGAGCCAAAAGUGUCUGAGAAUACAGGCUAAGCCACUUACCUUGACCUACAAUUCCUACAAGAUGGUCAUAGGUUCAAUAUGCUACUUAUUGAAUCUGCAAAAAUACCAAUAACCAACUAACAACAAGUACGAAACAGCCUCACCAUGACUGUGUCCUGCGUUGAAGCCCUGCUGCUGAGGCUCACCAGGGCAUCCUACAAAGCCACUUAGUGUGCUCCUAUGUUUCUUAUGCACUAUUUUCCCCUCAACUUGUAUUCUCUCCUCUGGCUUGGGUGCAGCACAACCCUCCUACAGGAAUAUCCAAACAGUUGGCUGGAGUCUUGGCAUGGUACAAUUCUUACUAAGGCAACUAAGCACUGAUAAAAUAAUUGGUUGCCUCUGCAGGACUCUCAAAAAGUUUCUUUUAAAUGUCUCGUCUAUCUGUCAAGCUGUGAACCAUAUUAAUUUCAAGGCCGCCUGCUGUACCUAUAGUAACAAGGUGAAAGGAAAACAGUAAGAUAAAUAUGUUUCAUUUAAUGUGUAUAAAAGCAAUAAAUAAGUGCUUAUGGCACCCAGACACACUGACAUAAGACAAGACACACUAAAAGGUAAUGGAAUGUGACAAAAGCAAAAUAUCUUUUCACAUGCACCAGGAAACAUUCUUUUUAACAUAGACAUGAAAACUCCACAAAAUCUUGAAGCACAUGUUUAUGCUUUUCCAUUAAAAUGCAAAGCAAAAAAGUAAAACUCUGUAACUUUAAACCCAAUACCUUAUUGAACACGGAACACAACGAUGAUAACGUAAGGACAACACACACGACCUCAUCACAACUUGAGGGAGGCGGGCGAGCGGGCGCCGACCCAGCCAGGCCAGGACAGCCACCCUCACAGAGCCGUCGCCUCACAACACAAAGUUCACAGUGCCACCUCCGGACAGCUUUGUGUUUACUGCUUCACCAAUACACUCUGUGAACACUACUCGACGCCCUCUCUGGCUUACCGCUACAUAAAACAACAAAUACGAAUGAACGGCUUAAAAUUAUCUGCCUGGAAUAAUUCUCGACAUGAACACAAAGCCUUAAAUAAGUUCACCAAAACAGGGCUGGCAGUUCUCCUGUAAUGUACCGUGUGCUGGGAACUCCUGACACACCCUCCACUGCAUCCAUCAGCCCCGGGGCACAUCACCGGGUUGUUACGUGACGAUAUAUAUUUACGAACAUGUGUAAAACUAUACUACCAAAAAUAACAACAUACAGUGCUCAGAUGAUAUGGAAAAAUCACAGCUGCAAUCUUGAGUAAACUAAAAAAAUCAUAUCCAAAAAUUGUAAAGGCUAAAUGGCACCAAGAAUAAAUAGAGUUAGGGACACCUGAAAGAGGGGAAAAAAGGUUGUCUUCAUUAAUUAGGCGUUCCUUAGCAUCUCCUUCAUGGCUUAGGAACCACCUCACCUGCAAUCACAUCAAGGAGCUCUUUGUGUCUCCCUUAAGAGCUAAAAAAGUGGGAAAUCAAAGCAGCAUAAAACCAUUCACACUACAGUAGACCCUUGAUUUAGUGCGAGAUAAGUACCAAAGAAAUUCAGGGUAAAUGGAGGUGUUAUUUCAAAGGGAUUUAUCAUUUUGUGACUGACAGGACUUUUGCAUGUGUGUGUGUGUGUGAAGGGAGACAGCUUAAGGGCAUGUUACAGAGAAGUCCGCAAAAUAAGUACCCAAGAAAUUCAGGCUAAUUGGAGGUGUUAUUUCAAAGGGAUUUAUCAUUUUGUGACUGGUGGGACUUUUGUGUGUGUGUGAAGGGCAUGUAACCGGGAAGUCCAUAAAGAAAAACGCGCUAAAUGAAGGGCCAACUGUAUCAUACCCUUACCUAACCUAACCUAAUCAUACACACUCCCCUAGAAUACAAGCAAAUACAAAAACAAAGACUUCUAACCUAUAUAAUCACAUCUUUUUUAGCUAGCACUGAGACUGUUUUUCACUCGGUAUCGCUAAGCAGGAGUGACACAGUGGCGGGUGAAUCUAAUCCUCUGGUGGCCCAAGAUAACUCACCACCUGACAGCCUGGCACACCUCCACCUGUCUUGGCCGCCAGGUGACACUAAGGUGCUUUGGGUAUGCUCGUAAACACUUGACGUAAUUAGUUUUUUCAUAGACGCGGUACGAAACAUCUUGAUGCGACGUGAAAUGAGCUUUAGAAUCUUACUCAACUCAACCUGCCAGAAAUAUCCACUGAACGGCAUGCUUAAAAUAUGCUCAUAAACACUCAAAGUAGUAAGUUUUUUUCCUAAGGGUGAUACAAAACGUGUUAAUAAGGGAAAUUAGUUUAGAACCUUAUUAACUUGACUUGCCAGAAACAUCCAGCAUGCUCAGGGUAUGCUAGUAAACACUCGACGUCAUUAGUUUUUUUCUGAACGUGAUACGAAACAUCUGAACAUGAAGUGAAAUUAGUUAAGAACCUUACAAACUUGACUUGCCAGAAAUAUCCACGUAUCAGCAUGCUUAAGUAAGAUAUGCUCGAAAACACUCAACAUAAGAAGUUUUUCCCCUAAAUGCGAUACAAAACAGUUUAAUACAAAGUGAAAUGAGUUUAGAACCUUCCCAACUUAGCUUGCCAGAAAUAUCCACGUACCAGCAUGCUUAGGAUAUCCUUGUAAACACUCGACGUAAUAAGUUUCUUCCCAUAAAUGCAAUACAAAACAGUUUAAUACAAUGUGAAAUGAGCUUAGAACCUUACCAACU